rnacentral:rRNA from 1 species
UACGUAGGGUGCGAGCGUUGUCCGGAAUUAUUGGGCGUAAAGAGCUUGUAGGCGGUUUGUCGCGUCUGCUGUGAAAAUCCGGGGCUCAACCCCGGACUUGCAGUGGGUACGGGCAGACUAGAGUGUGGUAGGGGAGACUGGAAUUCCUGGUGUAGCGGUGGAAUGCGCAGAUAUCAGAAGGAACACCGAUGGCGAAGGCAGGCCUCUGGGCCACUACUGACGCUGAGAAGCGAAAGCAUGGGGAGCGAACAGG